ensembl:snRNA U1 U1 spliceosomal RNA
AUACUUACCUGGUAGGGGAGAUACCAUGAUCACGAAGGUGGUUUUCCCAGAGUGAGGCUUAUCCAUUGCCCUCCGGAUGUGCUGACCCCUGCGACUUCCCCAAAUGUGGGAAACUCGACUGCAUAAUUUGUGGUAGUGGGGGACUGUGUUCACGCUUUUCCCCG